AAAUGGUAAAGUUACUGUUCAUGAUAAGUUUCUAUAAAUAGGACGAGUUACUGUGGUAACUCGUCAUUUUUCUCUCUCCCCGAUUUUCUCCCCCUCUUCCCCCGCGUCGCCCUCUCUCCUUCUUUUUCCGAUUUCUUCACCGUCCGGCGUCCGAUUGACUCGAUUCCAGUUGUCCUUGGACCGUCUCUUCCUCCUCUAUACGAUGGUACCAGUGGGUAUCGGCAAUUUGGCCGGAAAGCCCCGAAUUUAUGCAAGCAUUGCUACUGUAGCAGUUUGCUUUCCCGGCGAAAUUCCCCAGUUUCCGGCUAUCUUCGGCGGUGAAAUUGGCUCUAUUAGGAGCGCCUCGAGUCACUGAUCAUCUCCCCUCAAGACUUCUAGUCGGAAUUUCCACGUUUGGAAGGUGAAUUUGAAGGAUUUCCAAAUUUGUGGGUUUGGAGAUUUCCGGGUUUGUGUUCAUCGGCAAAAUUGGAGCAUUUCAAGGGCGACGUACCGAGCUAUUGCUCGACGAAGGAACUCGUAUGCAUGGUCGCCUAAAUAGUACUUUUGCAGGCCAGUUUAGCUUGAGGUCGAGCGUACUUGGGGUUGAGGCAUAGCUGUCAUAGCUUCCGCAUUAUAAAAGCAUCAGUCAUUUAUCUUGUUUUCUAUUCUCUUGUACGCCUACAUUAGAUUGCUCUGAUAACCUAUGAGAUUAAUAUUCUUAAGUAUCAGAAUUGUUUGUGAAAUGGGAGAUGUUGUGAUAUAGGGAGCAGGGUGGCUCCAGGAGAAUAAGGAUGGAUGAUUUAGAAGUGUAAAUGUUUUUCUACAGGUUUUGGGUUGUCCAUUUUUAGGGGAAGUUCUGUCAAAUUUUUGGUAGAAUUUCUUCUAAGGUGGACCCCGCAGGGCCUCUUCGGAUUUCAGGGUGAA